rnacentral:rRNA from 1 species
GGGCCCGCACAAGCGGUGGAACAUGUGGUUUAAUUCGACGCAACGCGCAAAACCUUACCUGGAUUUUGACAUCCCGGGCUCACCUCAGAGAUGAGGUUUUCUCUUCGGAGACCCGGUGACAGGUGCUGCAUGGCUGUCGUCAGCUCGUGUCGUGAGAUGUUGGUUAAGUCCCGCAACGAGCGCAACCCUUGUCCCUAGUUGCCAGCAUUGAGUUGGGCACUCUAGGGAGACUGCCGGUGAUAAGCCGGAGGAAGGUGGGGAUGACGUCAAGUCCUCAUGGCCUUUAUGUCCAGGGCUACACACGUGUUACAAUGGGGGUGACAAAGGGCAGCGAAGCCGCAAGGUG